GGGGAGCUGAAGAAGUUGGUGGAGGAGGGGAAGAUUAAGUACAUUGGGCUGUCCGAGGCGAGCCCCGAUACGAUCCGGCGUGCACAUGCAGUGCACCCGAUCACUGCGUUGCAGAUGGAGUGGUCUUUGUGGACUAGGGAUAUCGAGGAAGAGAUUGUACCACUUUGCAGGGAACUUGGCAUUGGGAUAGUUCCAUACAGCCCUCUAGGACGUGGUUUUUUCGGUGGCCGA
rnacentral:misc_RNA from 1 species